UGGGGAAUAUUGCACAAUGGGCGCAAGCCUGAUGCAGCCAUGCCGCGUGUGUGAAGAAGGCCUUCGGGUUGUAAAGCACUUUCAGCGGGGAGGAAGGGUAGUGUGUUAAUAGCACAUUGCAUUGACGUUACUCGCAGAAGAAGCACCGGCUAACUCCGUGCCAGCAGCCGCGGUAAUACGGAGGGUGCAAGCGUUAAUCGGAAUUACUGGGCGUAAAGCGCACGCAGGCGGUUUGUUAAGUCAGAUGUGAAAUCCCCGCGCUUAACGUGGGA
rnacentral:rRNA from 1 species